ACAAACUUGGUCAUUUAGAGGAAGUAAAAGUCGUAACAAGGUUUCCGUAGGUGAACCUGCGGAAGGAUCAUUAUUGAAAUAAUAAGAGUGGUCUCUUCAGAUGCAGUUGCUGGCCCCUUUGACAAGAGACAUUGUGCACGUUGACGUUGAGGCUUCACUCUUUUAUUACUACUAUCCCCCUGUGCACCUCUUGUAGUCGUUCUCGCCAGGCCGGCCCUCAAGUCGCAAGACUUUGUUGGUCACUAAUGACUUGGUUUAAAAGAACUUCUAUGUUUCUACAAACCCUAUUGAAGUAUGUCUAGAAUGUUUGUUGUAUUGGGGACUUGAUUUGAACCCAUUAAACUUUAUACAACUUUCAGCAAUGGAUCUCUUGGCUCUCCCAUCGAUGAAGAACGCAGC
rnacentral:misc_RNA from 1 species